rnacentral:rRNA from 1 species
ACGCUAGCGACAGGCUUAACACAUGCAAGUCGAGGGGCAGCACAGGUAGCAAUACCGGGUGGCGACCGGCGCACGGGUGAGUAACGCGUAUGCAACUUGCCUAUCAGAGGGGGAUAACCCGGCGAAAGUCGGACUAAUACCGCAUGAAGCAGGGAUCCCGCAUGGGAAUAUUUGCUAAAGAUUCAUCGCUGAUAGAUAGGCAUGCGUUCCAUUAGGCAGUUGGCGGGGUAACGGCCCACCAAACCGACGAUGGAUAGGGGUUCUGAGAGGAAGGUCCCCCACAUUGGUACUGAGACACGGACCAAACUCCUACGGGAGGCAGCAGUGAGGAAUAUUGGUCAAUGGCCGAGAGGCUGAACCAGCCAAGUCGCGUGAGGGAUGAAGGUUCUAUGGAUCGUAAACCUCUUUUAUAAGGGAAUAAAGUACGGGACGUGUCCCGUUUUGUAUGUACCUUAUGAAUAAGGAUCGGCUAACUCCGUGCCAGCAGCCGCGGUAAUACGGAGGAUCCGAGCGUUAUCCGGAUUUAUUGGGUUUAAAGGGUGCGUAGGCGGCCUUUUAAGUCAGCGGUGAAAGUCUGUGGCUCAACCAUAGAAUUGCCGUUGAAACUGGGGGGCUUGAGUAUGUUUGAGGCAGGCGGAAUGCGUGGUGUAGCGGUGAAAUGCAUAGAUAUCACGCAGAACCCCGAUUGCGAAGGCAGCCUGCCAAGCCAUGACUGACGCUGAUGCACGAAAGCGUGGGGAUCAAACAGGAUUAGAUACCCUGGUAGUCCACGCAGUAAACGAUGAUCACUAGCUGUUUGCGAUACACUGUAAGCGGCACAGCGAAAGCGUUAAGUGAUCCACCUGGGGAGUACGCCGGCAACGGUGAAACUCAAAGGAAUUGACGGGGGCCCGCACAAGCGGAGGAACAUGUGGUUUAAUUCGAUGAUACGCGAGGAACCUUACCCGGGUUUGAACGCAUUCGGACCGAGGUGGAAACACCUUUUCUAGCAAUAGCCGUUUGCGAGGUGCUGCAUGGUUGUCGUCAGCUCGUGCCGUGAGGUGUCGGCUUAAGUGCCAUAACGAGCGCAACCCUUGCCACUAGUUACUAACAGGUAAAGCUGAGGACUCUGGUGGGACUGCCAGCGUAAGCUGCGAGGAAGGCGGGGAUGACGUCAAAUCAGCACGGCCCUUACAUCCGGGGCGACACACGUGUUACAAUGGCGUGGACAAAGGGAAGCCACCUGGCGACAGGGAGCGAAUCCCCAAACCACGUCUCAGUUCGGAUCGGAGUCUGCAACCCGACUCCGUGAAGCUGGAUUCGCUAGUAAUCGCGCAUCAGCCAUGGCGCGGUGAAUACGUUCCCGGGCCUUGUACACACCGCCCGUCAAGCCAUGGGAGCCGGGGGUACCUGAAGUCCGUAACCGCGAGGAUCGGCCUAGGGUAAAAAA